AGGUUCGAGGUAGAGGAACAAUGAAGAGGUUAGAGGUAGGGGAAUGAUUAAGAGGUUAGAGGUAGAGGAAUGAUCAAGAGGUUAGAGGUAAAGGAACAAUCAAGAGGUUAGAGGUAGAGGAAUGAUCAAGAGGUUAGAGGUAGAGGAAUGAUCAAGAGGUUAGAGGUAGAGGAACAAUCAAGAGGUUAGAGGUAGAGGAAUGAUCAAGAGGUUACAUGUAGAGGAACAAUCAAGAGGUUAGAGGUAGAGGAACAAUCAAGAGGUUAGAGGUAGAGGAACAAUCAAGAGGUUAGAGGUAGAGGAAUGAUCAAGGGGUUAGAGGUAGAGGAAGGAUCAAGAGGUUAGAGGUAGAGAAACAAUGAAGAGGUUAGAGGUAGAGGAACAAUCAAGAGGUUAGAGGUAGAGGAAUGAUCAAGAGGUUAGAGGUAGAGGAAUGAUCAAGAGGUUAGAGGUAGAGGAAUGAUCAAGAGGUUAGAGGUAGAGGAAUGAUCAAGAGGUUAGAGGUAGAGGAACAAUCAAGAGUUUAGAGGUAGAGGAACAAUCAAGAGGUUAGAGGUAGAGGAACAAUCAAGAGGUUAGAGAUAGAGGAACAAUCAAGAUGUUAGAGGUAGAGGAACAAUCAAGAGUUAGAGGUAGAGGAGUGAUCAAGAGGUUAGAGGUAGAGGAAUGAUCAAGAGGUUAGAGGUAGAGGAACAAUCAAGAGGUUAGAGGUAGAGGAAUGAUCAAGAGGUUAGAGGUACAGGAACAAUCAAGAGGUUAGAGAUAGAGGAAUGAUCAAGAGGUUAGAGGUAGAGGAACAAUCAAGAGGUUAGAGGUAGAGGAAUGAUCAAGAGGUUAGAGGUAGAGGAAUGAUCAAGAGUUUAGAGGUAGAGGAACAAUCAAGAGGUUAGAGGUAGAGGAACAAUCAAGAGGUUAGAGGUAGAGGAACAAUGAAGAGGUUAGAGGUAGAGGAAUGAUCAGGAGGUUAGAGGUAGAGGAAUGAUCAAGAGGUUAGAGGUAGAGGAACAAUCAAGAGUUUAGAGGUAGAGGAAUGAUCAAGAGGUUAGAGGUAAAGGAAUGAUCAAGAGGUUAGAGGUAGAGGAAUGAUCAAGAGGUUAGAGGUAGAGGAGCAAUCAAGAGGUUAGAGGUAGAGGAAUGAUCAAGAGGUUAGAGGUAGAGGAACAAUCAAGAGUUUAGAGGUGGAGGAAUGAUCAGGAGGUUAGAGGUAGAGGAAUGAUCAAGAGGUUAGAGGUAGAGGAGCAAUCAAGAGGUUAGAGGUAGAGGAAUGAUCAAGAGGUUAGAGGUAGAGGAACAAUCAAGAGUUUAGAGGUAGAGGAAUGAUCAGGAGGUUAGAGGUAGAGGAAUGAUCAAGAGGUUAGAGGUAGAGGAGCAAUCAAGAGGUUAGAGGUAGAGGAACAAUCAAGAGGUUAGAGGUAGAGGAACAAUCAAGAGGUUAGAGGUAGAGGAAUGAUCAAGAGGUUAGAGGUAGAGGAGUGAUCAAGAGGUUAGAGGUAAAGGAACAAUCAAGAGGUUAGAGGUAGAGGAAUGAUCAAGAGGUUAGAGGUAGAGGAACAAUCAAAAGGUUAGAGGUAGAAGAACAAUCAAGAGGUUAGAGGUAGAGGAAUGAUCAAGAGGUAAGAGGUAGAGGAACAAUCAAGAGGUUAGAGGUAGAGGAACAAUCAAGAGGUUAGAGGUAGAGGAACAAUCAAGAGGUUAGAGGUAGAGGAACAAUCAAGAGGUUAGAGGUAGAGGAACGAUCAAGAGGUUAGUGGGAGAGGAAUAAUCAAGAGGUUAGAGGUAGAGGAAUGAUCAAGAGGUUAGAGGUAGAGGAAAGA